UCUAUUGGUCAUCACUAAGGACAAAAACGUAAACAAAGCAAAAACCUACAAAUAUUGACGGAAAAAUGGAUUACAUUGGUGGCUAUCGAUGUCCUAGCCAAGCGCUCCCACCCAACCAUGGAUGCCCUCAAGAUGCUGCAGGGCACCACCCAUUAGCGGCAGGAGCCCCCUCCUCGCGACUACGGCUACGGUUGCAUCCCCCCCACUGGGAAAGCUUACUCACACAGUGGGUAUUACAAAGGUUUAAUAAAUAUCCCCUUAAGACCGAAACCUGGCCGCCGUCUCGGAUAUUUACGCGGUCAAAGCAGAGGAUUCGUUUUGCUGGAAAAGGGGACAGGCGCCGCGGAAACUAUGCUCUACCAGCCAUGUAUUGGUAGAGCUCGCAUGGAAACGCGGCCCUCAAAGGAACAUGCGCGAUGCGCGUGUGUAUGGUCACCUAAUCCUGAGGAGCUCCAGGGGAAAAGAAGGGACAGGCCAAAAAGGCAAACAACGAGGACAAAUAAGGCUCUCGGGUCUAACUCCGGAUAAACUCACUAACAGCCACCGUCGGGCCGGGCCUGGAGGCGAUGGGAGCCCGGGCUGAUGACUUUCCGCCGGAGGCCAGCAGCGAUACGGAUCUCCACACGGGAAAAUGGCGCUCUCCGGUGAGUGGUGCACGGGCAGUCCGAGAUUCGGCUGCCAGACAAAAUGGAGAUACUUCUCAGCGCCGCAAUGCGACCGCUGGAAGUUCCCGAGAGGAGGAGGACGCGGUACGCCGGAACGGACUCACCGGGAAAUGUUGACGUCGUCGGCGUCGAUUGUGGAAGGCUUUCCUGGCUGGUCGCUGGCACGGGUCGAACGGACACCGGUUGCUGGGCAGCCAAGUCGGGCUGGUAGGCACAAAGAAAAUUUAUACUAGCACUCCUAGCUGCAUCUGCCUUGAUUGCUGGACAGUAUGGCCGCGACUAUCACGAUAUCUGCUGAUCAUCGCCCCCCCGCCAUAUUACAUGGCCUCUCUCGACAUUGGGUCAUUGGAUACAUGGGCCAUUUGAAGUAAUCCCAGAGCGAACCGGGAUUAAUCUUCAAAUGGCCAGAUCGCCCGCCAGACUCAUCCCGCUGCUGCAGCUAUCGCCCUAUCGACCUAAACUAUCGAUAACGUCGCUCCCACUUGACUCCAAUUGCACCAACUAUAAGAGCUA